rnacentral:rRNA from 1 species
GAUGAACGCUGGCGGCGUGCUUAACACAUGCAAGUCGAACGGAAAGGCUCCUGCUUGCAGGUGUACUCGAGUGGCGAACGGGUGCGUAACACGUGGGUGAUCUGCCCUGCACUUCGGUAUAAGCUUGGGAAACUGGGUCUACUACCGGAUCGGAUCGCAUUUUGGAUGGUGUGGUGGAAAGUUUGUUCGGUGUGGGAUGAGCUCGCGGCCUAUCAGCUUGUUCGUGGGGUAAUGGCAUACCCAGGCGUCGACGGGUAGCCGGCAUGAGAGGGUGUACGGCCACAUUGGGACUGAGAGACGGAGCAGACUCCUACGGGAGGCAGCAGUGGGGAAUAUUGCACAAUGGGCGCGAGCCUGAUGCAGCGACGCCGCGUGGGGGAUGACGGCCUUCGGGGUGUAAACACCUGUCGCUAGGGACGAAGAGGAAUUGACGGUACCUGGAGAAGAAGCACCGGCUAACUACGUG